GAGAAGCCCUGGACUCAAGCAGGGAGGGGCUCUCCUACUGAAUCACCAGCAACACCUGUGUUUUGCUUGGGAGGUCUCCCGCGCAGGGACUAGCCAAGCCUGACCCUGUUUGGCUUCCUGGAGCUUGACUCUGCUGGGCACCACUGUGCUGUGGACCCCACUCAGCCUAGAACUGCAGCCGCUGGUUCUUCUCUCCUCUGGCUGGGAGCGCCCCCCGGGGCGUCUUGUCCCCAUACUUCUGCAUCUCCUGCUCCUGCGGCAGGGGGAAGACACGCUGGGUGUCACCAUCCAGGGCACGGCCACCAAAUACAGCACAUGGAUCAACUCUCUGAGAUGGUCCCCAUUUGCCUCUGAAGAUUGCCACGCUUUCCCUUCCUUUGAUCAGAUUUCCCAUAUAGGUGGGCAGCUGCAGACAGCUGUGGAAGUACAGGAGCUUGGCUGUGCAGUGGGGCUGGAAUUUGGAAAAACUCAUCGGGGC